rnacentral:rRNA from 1 species
GGAAUCUUCCGCAAUGGGCGAAAGCCUGACGGAGCAAUGCCGCGUGAGUGAAGAAGGCCUUCGGGUCGUAAAACUCUGUUAUAAGAGAAGAACAAAUUGUAGAGUAACUGCUACAGUCUUGACGGUAUCUUAUCAGAAAGCCACGGCUAACUACGUGCCAGCAGCCGCGGUAAUACGUAGGUGGCAAGCGUUGUCCGGAUUUAUUGGGCGUAAAGGGAGCGCAGGUGGUUUCUUAAGUCUGAUGUGAAAGCCCACGGCUUAACCGUGGAGGGUCAUUGGAAACUGGGAAACUUGAGUACAGAAGAGGAAUAUGGAACUCCAUGUGUAGCGGUGGAAUGCGUAGAUAUAUGGAAGAACACCAGUGGCGAAGGCGACAUUCUGGUCUGUUACUGACACUGAGGCUCGAAAGCGUGGAGAGCAAACAGG